rnacentral:rRNA from 1 species
GACGAACGCUGGCGGCGUGCCUAAUACAUGCAAGUCGUGCGGACCUUUUAAAAGCUUGCUUUUAAAAGGUUAGCGGCGGACGGGUGAGUAACACGUGGGCAACCUGCCUGUAAGAUCGGGAUAACGCCGGGAAACCGGGGCUAAUACCGGAUAGUUUUUUCCUCCGCAUGGAGGAAAAAGGAAAGACGGCUUYUGCUGUCACUUACAGAUGGGCCCGCGGCGCAUUAGCUAGUUGGUGGGGUAACGGCUCACCAAGGCAACGAUGCGUAGCCGACCUGAGAGGGUGAUCGGCCACAUUGGGACUGAGACACGGCCCAAACUCCUACGGGAGGCAGCAGUAGGGAAUCUUCCGCAAUGGACGAAAGUCUGACGGAGCAACGCCGCGUGAGUGAAGAAGGCCUUCGGGUCGUAAAACUCUGUUGCCGGGGAAGAACAAGUGCCGUUCGAACAGGGCGGCGCCUUGACGGUACCCGGCCAGAAAGCCACGGCUAACUACGUGC